UACGUAGGGGGCUAGCGUUGUCCGGAUUUAUUGGGCGUAAAGAGCGUGUAGGCGGCCAGGUAGGUCUGCUGUGAAAACUCGAGGCUCAACCUCGAGACGUCGGCGGAAACCAUCUGGCUAGAGUCCGGAAGAGGAGAGUGGAAUUCCUGGUGUAGCGGUGAAAUGCGCAGAUAUCAGGAGGAACACCAAUGGCGAAGGCAGCUCGCUGGGACGGUACUGACACUGAGACGCGAAAGCGUGGGGAGCAAACAGG
rnacentral:rRNA from 1 species